ACACAUGCAGUCGGACGGUAACAGGGGAGCUUGCUCCCGCUGAUGAGUGGCGGACGGGUGAGUAAUGCAUGGGAAUCUGCCCUUUAGUUGGGGAUACCGUAUGGAAACGUACGUUAAUACCGAAUGAGAUCUACGGAUGAAAGGUGCCCUCUUCUUGAAAGGUAUCGCUAAAGGAUGAGCCCAUGUUAGAUUAGCUAGUUGGUGAGGUAAUGGCUCACCAAGGCAUCGAUCUAUAGCUGGUUUGAGAGGAUGAUCAGCCACACUGGGACUGAGACACGGCCCUGACUCCUACGGGAGGCAGCAGUGGGGAAUAUUGCACAAUGGAGGAAACUCUGAUGCAGCCAUGCCGCGUGUGUGAAGAAGGCCCGAGGGUUGUAAAGCACUUUUAGUGAGGAGGAAAGGUUAGUCGUUAAUACCGGCUAGCUGUGACGUUACUCACAGAAAAAGCACCGGCUAACUCUGUGCCAGCAGCCGCGGUAAUACAGAGGGUGCAAGCGUUAUUCGGAAUUACUGGGCGUAAAGCGCGCGUAGGCGGAUUGUUAAGUCAGUUGUGAAAGCCCUGGCUCAACCUAGGAACGGCGAUUGAAACUGGCAGUCUAGAGUUUAGUAGAGGGAAGGGGAAUUUCUGGAGUAGCAGUGAAAUGCGUAGAUAUCAGAAGGAACAUCAGUGGCGAAAGCGCCUUCCUGGACUAGAACUGACGCUGAGUGCGAAAGCGUGGGGAGCAAACGGGAUUAGAUACCCCGGUAGUCCACGCCCUAAACGAUGUCACUAGCUGUGGUCUUAUUAAAAAGAUUAGUAGCGCAGCUAACGCGAUA
rnacentral:rRNA from 1 species